rnacentral:rRNA from 1 species
UGAUGCAGCCAUGCCGCGUGUGUGAAGAAGGCCUUCGGGUUGUAAAGCACUUUCAGUAGGGAGGAAGGUAGUGUAGUUAACACCUGCAUUACUUUGACGUUACCUACAGAGGAAGCACCGGCUAACUCCGUGCCAGCAGCCGCGGUAAUACGGAGGGUGCGAGCGUUAAUCGGAAUUACUGGGCGUAAAGCGCAUGCAGGCGGCCUGUUAAGUCAGAUGUGAAAGCCCCGGGGCUUAACCUCGGAAUUGCAUUUUGAAACUGGCAGGCUAGAGUCUUGUAGAGGGGGUAGAAUUUCAGGUGUAGCGGUGAAAUGCGUAGAGAUCUGAAGGAAUACCAGUUGGCGAAGGCGGCCCCCCUGGACAAAGACUGACGCUCAGAUGCGAAAGCGUGGGGAGCAAACAGGAUUAGAUACCCUGGUAG